rnacentral:lncRNA from 1 species
GAUUUUGUUCCUUCUGUGGCCAGAGAUGUGAUGACAGGACCAGUCACUGUUUUUUUGUUUGUUUAGUCUUGUUUUACUUUUGACAUUUAGAGACUAUAACUCGAUUCUUGAGUAUUGUCUUUGUUGUCUUUCUUUUACAUGAUGUACUCAUCGGAUUAUCCCAUUGGAUGCAUUUUCCUUUAUGGACAUGUGUUUGUGUUUUGUGAUAUGAUGUGUUGUACUUUUGACUUGGGGCAUCUUUUCACUUGCAUAUUGUGGUCUUGAGGCUUGACCUAUCAUGGAGGAUAUUGAGCCUAUUAGCCUAGGAUCAAAGAUUUGACUUAGGGAGUUCGAGACUGUGACACAUCUUCUUAUGAUCAGAGUCAUACCUUGCUCACUUCCCGCACCUUGACUUUGUUUUGAUCUGCAUCCAUCCGUUAUGAGCUUUGCACAACAUCACCCUUGAGACCAUUACAUGACCUUUUCUAUCAUCGGUUUUUCUAGAUUUUCACCUCCCCUCUCUGAUUCGACUAGGUAGAGUGUGAGAAGUUUGAGCCCAGGGUUGAUUUCGCAUGGCGAGGGUUGGCUUAUGAUCUUUGGAUGGCUUACGAUGUGAGGAUUGGUCGAUUGCUUGAUGAGAUUGUCACUUAUUUUGCCGUGAGUAUAGAGAUUGAUAUUGUAUGAUGAGAGUUGGCUUGUGAUGAGCAGUAUUGCUUGAUGAGAUCAUCGUUUACUUUGCUUGAUGAGUACGGUUGAUACAUGAUUCUAAAGGGUUGAUGUGGUUAUACCAGAUGGACAUCGAUAUUUAGUAUUGAUCAUUUGAGGGCCUGAGAGCACGAUGUUUGAGACCGUGGUCGCAGGAUGGGUGGCCUUCAUUUCGGUUAGCUCAUACCUUAUUACCUUUAUUGACAUCAUAGUCCGUUGUUAGCCCUUUCAGCCUCUCAUGAGCAUCAUAGCCUUUUCUUUCUUAUAGCCUUGCUCACCUUCUACGCCGGGAUAGGGGCCCUUCAGUGUAUGCAUGCAUUGUUUAGGAGUUUCAUGAGCCUUGGACCGAGGGGCACAUCUUUCUCAUUAUAUUUUCCUAUCAUUGCGUCAUUGCAUUUCGUCACAUCUCGUUGGUUCUUCAUCCUCUUCUUUAUUAUAUCUAUUGUUUGUUCUGCUUCAUCUUCUCCCACCCCGAGUGGUGAUCAUCCUCAGUUCAUUACAUGGAGGGUAGUCAUGUCAUUUUCCACUAUCUAUCCUACGGACGUUGAUCCAGGGAUCCUUGGCUUGAGAGGGUCACAUUAUUAGAGAGAGUUUGUGAUAUAUUGAUAUUUGAGGGCAUGCUUAUUCAUUUUUUAUCCCGUCUUUGGGUCUUUCUUGGUUUGCUUUAGAGCAUGUAUAUUUGUAUAUAUGUAAAAAAAAAAAAAAAGAAAAAAGAAAAAAAGAAAAAAGAAAAGAGGCACAUGUGUGUAUUAUUCUCUAUCAUUGAGUAUGUGUAUAUUAGUGUUCGAGGGGUCGCUUUGUUGGAUAUGUCUAUUGAUGGGAGUUCGUAUGUGAGCUCCUCGGGACCUUUCAUUCUUCGUAUUCAUUUUGUUGUAUGUUUUGAGAGUGAGAUGAGUGGCCUUCUCUUAGGAGCUCUGGGUCAUUGUCCAUUCCAUCAUUGUGUUCGUUAUUGACGUGACCUCCUUUCAUAUUUGAUUUGAGCAAAUCAUCACUUGUUCUCAUAUUUUAUGCUUCAUCAUCAUCCUCGUUUUCACUUCUGUUUUAUCAUUUUUCAUUCCACCCCUUAUUCCAUUCUUACAGUGACCUCAUUUUCGGGUUUGAUACCCUCUUCGCGCCAUCAUUAUACAUCUCGUCAUCAGUUCGAUUUUUCUUCAUUGCAUCCUCAUUGUUACCAUGUUCACAGUAGGCAUCUUCAGGUCCAUGGCUCACGAUAUUUUCUAUACAUGUUGCAUUUUAUACAUGAGGGCAUGGGUUUUGAUCAUUGGGUAUUUGGGCCUAGUUUCCCUUCAUUUCUAUCACCCUAUCACCCUAGCUUACGUUACGUCCCGUGUCUUAAGACCACCCUGAGGCCAUGACAUCACACAUUAUGUUUGAUAGCUCUUAUGUGAGCGAUACUUGAGAUUGAUUCGAGAGCAUUCUGAUUGUGACAGACCGGGAGUUAUGGUAUGACCUUACACUGGGGCAUAGCCAUCUCAGAGAGUUUUAUUAUCGGAUGACCAUUGUGUCGAGGCAUACCCUUCUCAGUCGAUGACGGAUUUUUGAGCCAUGUCCAUUCCUCAGAGGAUAUCAGAUGUCCUUUUUCACAUUGGAGCAUGAGACAUGAUUGGCACAUUUCAUAUGGUGUACUUUACACAGGGGCAUACCCCUUUCGGUCGAUGAUGGUUUUUUUUAGGUAUAGUUGUUCCUUGGAGGCGAUUAAAUUCAUUUCACAUUGGAGUACGGGAUAUGAUUGGGUGAUUUCUUUGAUGUGAUCAUAGGAGCAUGGCCCUCUCAUCAUUGUUGACAUAUUUUCGAGAUGAUUGGAUUAGGACACGGGCACUUAUGAGAGCAUGCAGUAGAGUUUAGUCAUUCCAGGGUUUGCCCUAUACUGGGGCAUAACCCUUUCAUCGGAGGUUGAUCUCAGAGACACCAGUUCACAUCGAGACAUGCUCUUUCUUUAGAGGAGAUCAGAUAUUCUCUUCAUAUUACCACGAUGACUUUGAGGAGCAGAGAUUCAUUUCGAUCAGAUGAUGUAUGAUUGGUUGUACUCUUCUCAUGGAUGUUUGUUUUGGAGAUGCUUACACUGGGGCAUAGCCCACUCGUCUUGAUGAUGAUUUUGUGAUAUGACAGUUUAUGUCAGACGCUUACUUUCCAGAUGAUCAUUUUGCAUUGAGAGCUUACCCAUUCUGAGAUGAUGCAUUCACACUGGGGCAUAGCCACCUUGCCGAUUUUGACAUUGAGAUUCCACUUCCUGUUUAUGAUUGCUGCUUUCGAUGGAUCAUAGAGUCAUUGACAUCCUGGGAUCAGUCUUCUCAGCGUACCUAGUUUGAUUUGGAUAUUCACUUUCCUUUGUUACACACCUAUACAUCCUACAUUGGACUCCAUUAUACCUGUACCCAUCUUAUCAGAGCCUUACAUCUCUUGAGCCCACAUAUUUCAUCGUCUUACAUGACCCUAUCCAUUUCUUUUGUGAUCAGAGGAGGAUGCAGACCAGUCUCGGGCUUUCUGGUCGAGUUUUCACAUGCCUUUGGACAUUAGGUUCAACAUCUCCCAUGAUGGUAAGGCCUGUUAUAUUGUUGAUACAGUUGUGAUGAUGUACUCAUAUUGAUAGUUGACAUGCCAUGUCUUGAUUUGCUUGCAUUUCAGUUUUAGAGUCUUGGUCAGUUUUUGUUUGGUCCACUAUUUUGGUUUUGCUUUGUCAGCAUAGUUUUGGUGAUGUUUGGUCUUGUUUUAGUGUUUGUUCAUUGAGGCUAUGUGUAUCUUUUUCAUUGCAUCAUCAUUGAGCAUAUCCUAGAGUGUCUUGUAUGGUGACAUUCUAUGUCUGAAGCUGGUUACUAUCUUACACUGGGGCAUACCCCCCAUCCUUGAGUUCAUCAGGUCUUUUGUGUACUUUCUCACUGCUCGAUCUAUUUCUUGAUCUUUGUGAGUCGUCAUACUAGGGCAUACCCCUUUAGGGCUUGACUUGGGGCAUUCCCCUCUCUUUGGGUUUGCUAUGUCUCGUGCUGAUUUCAUGAUUGUCAGACGCAUUUGUCGAUCUUUAUGAGUUAUCACCUAGGGCGUCCCCCUACUGUCAUCUUGUUUAGGGCAUCCCCCUUCUGUCAUCUUGUAUAGGGCAUCCCCCUAUUGUCAUCUUGUUUAGGACAUCCCCCUUCACUCAGAUUUUCACCACCAUAGAUUUUCAUCUAUGGGCUUUUCAGUUAUUAUCACCACCAUAGAUCAGACAUCUAUGGACAUUUCAGAUUCACCACCAGGGAUUUUCAUCCUUGGGCUUUGAUUAGUUUAUCACCACCAUAGAUUUUCAUCUAUGGGCAUUUCAGUUAUAUCACCACCAUGGAUUUUCAUCCUUGGGCUUUUGAGAUUAUAUCACCACCAUGGAUUUUCAUCCUUGGGGUUUUGAGAUUAUCACCACCAUGGAUUUUCAUCCUUGGGCUUUUGAGAUUAUAUCACCACCAUGGAUUUUCAUCCUUGGGCUUUUGAGAUUAUAUCACCACCAUGGAUUUUCAUCCUUGGGCUUUUGAGAUUAUAUCACCACCGUGGAUUUUCAUCCUUGGGCAUUUCAGAUUUUCACCACCAUAGAUCAGACAUCUAUGGGCAUUUCAGAUUCACCAUCAUAGAUUUUCAUCUAUGAGCAUUUGUUUUAGUUAUCACCACCAUAGAUCGGACAUCUAUGGGCUUUGAUCAGUUUUUCACCAUCAUAGAUUUUCAUCUACGAGCAUUUGUUUCAGAUUCACCAUCAUGGAUUUUCAUCCAUGAGCCUUUGUUUCAAUUAUUAUCACCACCAUAGAUUUUCAUCUAUGGGCAUUUCAGAUUUAUCACCACCAUGGAUCAGCUAUCUAUGGGCCUUUCGGUUAUUUCACCACCAGGGAUUUUCAUCCUUGGGCUUUCAGUUACUUCACCACUGUAGGUCUUCACCUAUGGGCCUUCUAGUUUAGCAUUUAGAGUUAGUUUUUUUGGUUUGGCUUCCAGAGCUUUAUUUUCUUAUUUUCUAGUUUAGCGUUUAGAGUUAGUUUUUUUUUGGUUCGGCUUCCAAAGCCGUUAUUUUCUCAGUUUAGCAGUUUAGAGUUAGCUUUUUGGUUUGGCUUCCAGAGCUUUAUUUUCUUAUUUUCUAGUUUAGUGUUUAGAGUCAGUCUUGUCAUGCAGAGUCACAGCUCCUAACAUUCCUAUUCACUGGCAUUGCGUGUCUCACCUUCAUUGGAUUUGCGCUUAUUCUCGUUCUCCUCACUUCGUUACCUUGUGCUUAUCGUGUAUUCAUCAUGUAGUCCACAUAGGGCAGUCUCCUUUAGACGCAUUCUUGUCCGUACUCCAGGGUGGUUCGACCGUUACUCACCUUUGGCAUCGAUUUUCGGGUCACUUUUGGAGACGUCUUAGAGGGAGCUUGGAUCCUUAGUGUGACUUCAGAGGCAUUUUGAGACAUCUUUUCUCUUAGGAUUAGAGCCUUUGUGUUCGUUUGUUGGCCUGAGUGACUUUGCGUUUCACUCGUGUCCCUAUGGGGGUCUCCUUGGUUCUUCAGUAGAGUUCACUUCAUUUCACUCACUAUUCACACUUUCUUUUCAUUCUGGUGUUCAUAUUCCUUACACUCGUGAACUCUACCGAAGAGGGGCAUAUUUGUAGACCCCCAUUUUGGGGAGCUGUGAUUUUUCUCACGUUUCUUUUCUUGCAGCUAGCUGUGGCCAGAUGUCACCAUCCUAGAAGUCCACAUGCUGUCCUGAGAUUGGCUGUUGUGGAAUCAAAAUAGUGGUUUUAAGAGCCAAUGAGAAGGUGACACGGGGUGUGAGGGAAUCUGCAAAAGCUGCAGACCGUUUUGCCAGCUGUAGGGAGGAGCGGAUGAGAGAGGGAGAUGCUUUUCCAUUAGGGGGGGGGGGGGGGGCUGCAGAGCUUUUUUGGGGAGGAGAGGAGCUUUUGUUUGGUUACUUUGGGUAGAGAGGAGAUCCGAGAGCUUUUAGCAGAGAGCUUGGAGAGGUUAGAGAGAAGGAUUUCUGGAGAGCAACUAGGGAGGAGGAGGGUUCAGUUGGAGGUAGAGGGUAUUCCUGGAGAUUUUCGAGAGGGAGGAGGAGCCUUUUCUGGAGCUGGGAAAGCUAACAAGACCUUACUGCAAAAGGGCAUUUUCAGCGCAUAGUGGCUCGCUGCUCAGGUACGCCCUCGUUCCUACUCUGGUUAGUUUAUAUGCAUUUUCUGACUCUCAUAUGUGCAUGAUUGAUUCGAGUAUUUAUUGAUUUUCUCAUUGAUUGUCAUGUCAGCUUCAUCUCAUUAGUAGAGACCCGACUUUANNNNNNNNNNNNNNNNNNNNNNNNNNNNNNNNNNNNNNNNNNNNNNNNNNNNNNNNNNNNNNNNNNNNNNNNNNNNNNNNNNNNNNNNNNNNNNNNNNNNNNNNNNNNNNNNNNNNNNNNNNNNNNNNNNNNNNNNNNNNNNNNNNNNNNNNNNNNNNNNNNNNNNNNNNNNNNNNNNNNNNNNNNNNNNNNNNNNNNNNNNNNNNNNNNNNNNNNNNNNNNNNNNNNNNNNNNNNNNNNNNNNNNNNNNNNNNNNNNNNNNNNNNNNNNNNNNNNNNNNNNNNNNNNNNNNNNNNNNNNNNNNNNNNNNNNNNNNNNNNNNNNNNNNCCCCCCCCCCCCCCCCCCCCCAUAAUGGAAAAACAUCUCCCUCUCUCAUCCGCUCCUCCCUACAGCUGGCAAAACGGUCUGCAGCUUUUGUAGAUUCCCUCACACCCCGUGUCACCUUCUCAUUGGCUCUUAAAACCACUAUUUUGAUUCCACAACAGCCAAUCUCAGGACAGCAUGUGGACUCCUAGGAUGGUGACAUCUGGCCAUAGCUAGCUGCAAGAAAGGAAACGUGAGAAAAAUCACAGCUCCCCAAAAUGGGGGUCUACACUAUGAUAGUCAUCCAAAACAUAUUGCUUAUCCAAAGUUUUUGUAAUAUCAUAGGAACAAAAUUCUUUAUCAUUUGGAUGUAAUGUUUUCAAAGUCACCAACCUAAAAUAGUUUCGCUAUAAGCAUAAUUGUGGUCCCCAUAUUUAUGCUCAUGCGCUUUCACUCAAUGGCGAGCUUGCUUUUUAUUUUUAAAAUGAUUUGUUAUUUUUUAGAAAAUGAUUUGGAGUCACCACUUAUUCUUGUUUUAUUUUUUUAAAAGUAAACAAAAUAAGAAAGAAAACCCUAAGUGUGACUCCUUAUUUUGGAAAAGGUGGUUUGUGAAAA